rnacentral:rRNA from 1 species
UCGAGGAUCUUCGGCAAUGGACGCAAGUCUGACCGAGCGACGCCGCGUGCGGGAUGAAGGCCUUCGGGUUGUAAACCGCUGUCAGUGGGGAGAAAAUUUAUUAGGGUACUCUCUAGUAAUUGAUCGAUCCGCAGAGGAAGUGUGGGCUAAGUUCGUGCCAGCAGCCGCGGUAAGACGAACCACACAAACGUUAUUCGGAAUUACUGGGCUUAAAGGGUGCGUAGGCUGCGCAGAAAGUUGGGUGUGAAAUCCCUCGGCUCAACCGAGGAACUGCGCCCAAAACUACUGUGCUUGAGGGAGAUAGAGGUAAGCGGAACUGAGGGUGGAGCGGUGAAAUGCGUUGAUAUCCUCAGGAACACCGGUGGCGAAAGCGGCUUACUGGAUCUCUUCUGACGCUGAGGCACGAAAGCUAGGGUAGCGAACGGGAUUAGAUACCCCCGUAGUCC